rnacentral:rRNA from 1 species
AUUGAACGCUGGCGGCAGGCCUAACACAUGCAAGUCGAGCGAGCGGCGGACGGGUGAGUAAUGUCUGGGAAACUGCCUGAUGGAGGGGGAUAACUACUGGAACCGGUAGCUACUACCGCAUACCAUCAGAUGUUCCCAGAUGGGAUUAGCUAGUAGGUGGGGUAAUGGCUCACCUAGGCGACGCUCCCAAGCUGGUCUGAGAGGCUGACACGCCACACUCAAACUGAGACACGGUCCAGACUCCUACGUGAGGCAGCAGUGGGGAAUAUUGCCGAAUGGGCGCAAGCCUGACGCAGCCAUGCCGCGUGUAUGACGAAGGUCUUCGGUUUGUAAAGCACUUUAAGUUUGGAGGCGUUACCAGCAGAAUUAGCACCGGCUAACUUCGUGCCAGCAGCCGCGGUAAUAC